rnacentral:rRNA from 1 species
UACAAGCAGUUACUACGCCACCUGGUGGAUGACUGGGCUCGGUUGCCGAAGAAGGUCGUGCCAAGCAGCGAUAUGCUUCGGGGAGGCGCAUGGAACCUUUGAUCCGAAGAUGGCCGAAUGGGACUUCCUAGACCUAAGUCUAAUCCUUCACAGGAUGGGGAACGCCCCGAAUUGAAACAUCUUAGUAGGGGCAGGAAAAGAAAUCAAACGAGAUGGGGUAAGUAAAGGCGAUCGAACACCCCACAGGGCAAACCGAAUCCCGCAGCGAGAGUUGCGGGAGAUGUGGAUGGCCCGGUUACGUCCCAACUCUCAUAUCCGAAGUUCGUGUGGAACGCCGGUGCCAGAGAGGGUGACAGCCCCGUAGGAGAAAGAGAGCAGGACGAUUUCCGGGACCCAAGAGUAGCGUGCGUUGGAUAUCGCGCGUGAAUAUGGGAGGUACUAACUUCCAACCCUGAAUACAAACCGAGACCGAUAGCGUACUAGUAGCGUGAGCGAAAGUUGUAAAGCAUCCCUAGCGGGAGAAUAGCAAGACCCUGAAAUCAGGUGGUUACAGACUGAUACGGCGUGCAAGGGAAGAGGCGGUUACACCACCGCUGACCGGCGUCGUAUCGUCCGAUUCGAAAAUUGGCCCAUGGAGUUUCUUUCACUGGCAAGGUUAAGCACGCAAGUGCGAAGCCGCAGGGAAACCGACAGUCCGCAGCAUUGCAAGGGACGGAGUGUGCUCGCUCGGAGUCAGUGGAUGGAUACCCGAAGCCGGUCGAUCUAUGCCUGGGCAGGGUGAAGCCCCCCGGAAGGGGGGUGGAGGCCCGUACCGGUACUGAUGUGCAAAUCGUUCGGAUGACCUGGGUAUAGGGGCGAAA